AUCCAUCUGGCAAGUCCCAGAUAGGACGAAACGCGCGUCCUGGAU
rnacentral:hammerhead_ribozyme from 1 species